rnacentral:rRNA from 1 species
UACGAAGGGGGCUAGCGUUGCUCGGAAUUACUGGGCGUAAAGGGCGCGUAGGCGGGUCGUUAAGUUAGAGGUGAAAGCCCAGGGCUCAACCCUGGAAUUGCCUUUAAUACUGUCGACCUUGAGUAUGGCAGAGGUGUGUGGAACUCCGAGUGUAGAGGUGAAAUUCGUAGAUAUUCGGAAGAACACCAGUGGCGAAGGCGACUCACUGGACACGUAUUGACGCUGAGGUGCGAAAGCGUGGGGAGCAA